CAGGUACUUCCACUAGCCAAUUGCUAGUGGAUAUUUUGAGUAUAUAUAUAUAUAUAUAUAUAUAUAUAUAUAUAUAUAUAUAUAUAUAUAUUCAAAAUAUCCACUAGCAAUUGGCUAGUGGAAGUACCUG